CAGUAGCCGCGGUAAUACGUAGGGCGCAAGCGUUAUCCGGAAUUAUUGGGCGUAAAGAGCUCGUAGGCGGCUUGUCGCGUCUGCUGUGAAAUCCCGAGGCUCAACCUCGGGCCUGCAGUGGGUACGGGCAGACUAGAGUGCGGUAGGGGAGAUUGGAAUUCCUGGUGUAGCGGUGGAAUGCGCAGAUAUCAGGAGGAACACCGAUGGCGAAGGCAGAUCUCUGGGCCGUAACUGACGCUGAGGAGCGAAAGGGUGGGGAGCAAACAGGCUUAGAUACCCCGGUAGUCCCUGUCUCUUAUAC
rnacentral:rRNA from 1 species